GGAUGUGAAGGCAAUCUGGCUGUGACAUCUGUCACCUCAUUAAUUGUCAGGGUUGAUUCAGGUGAUCUGGCUGGCUAGGCAGGUGUCCCCUUCUUCCCUCACUGCUCCAUGUGCGACCCUCCUGAAGCUAAGCACUUUGUUAAAGAGGACAACCAUCUCCGAUAGAGAAGGACCGUUCUUUGUUCAAGGGUAUGCGAGUAUUUGUGCUACCCUGCUAGACUCUCCAAACAAGCUCUCAAAAGGGCGUUUUGGGGUAGUGCUGGGUGGAGCCAGUUCAUCUGUUCUCUGUGAGACAAUCUGUGAGUAGGCCACUUGAU
rnacentral:snRNA from 1 species